rfam:Xenopus laevis strain J chromosome 7L, whole genome shotgun sequence.
AUUGCCAUCUUACUGGGCAGCAUUGGAUUAUGUCUAUGUUUCUAAUACUGCCUGGUAAUGAUGAUUAU